GAAGAAGAAGAAGAAGAAGAAGACGACGUUUCGUGAUUUAUGGACUAUUUAAUCAUCUUAUCAAGAAUCAUCCUGAAGACACAGCAGUGGACUGACUGAGACCCUCAGAUGUGAACCACCUGAAACCACAUGAGGAACCAAGAGGGACCCGAUUCUGUGGGUUAGAAUGUGGGAGGAGAUCCUCCAGAGGACCUACCUGUCUGUCUGACUGAGUCCACCAUGUACCCGGUCCUCACCUGUCUCCCCCUCGUCGUCCUGCUGGCCUCCAGCUGGUCUCAGACCAGCGGGCAGUUUGAGGUGUGCCGGUCUCUGCGGGGCUCGGAGGCGGGGCCUGGCUCGGAGAUCUACCCCUGUCAGCCCCCACCCGCCAACAUGAAGGAGGUGAUGCAGAUCAGAGUGGACCCCCCAGGGAUCACCUGUGGGAACCCACCUGAGAGGUUCUGCACUCUGGAGAACCCGUACCUGUGCAGCGAUGAGUGUGAUGCGUCCAGCCCCGACCUGUCUCACCCUCCUCAGCUGAUGGGAGACAGGGAGAGAGGGGGGCUCAUCACCUACUGGCAGACGGUCACGUGGUCAAGGUAUCCUGAGCCCCUAUUGGCCAACAUCACUCUGUCCUGGAACAAGAGCCUGGAGGUGGUCGAUGACAUCGUCGUCACCUUCGAGUACGGCCGACCAACCAGCAUGGUGCUGGAAAAAUCCAUGGACAAAGUGCAGACAGCACCUCCUCCUGUAGUGCAGACAGCACCUCCUCCUGUAGUGUACCACUUCAGGAGACUCAGGGACCAUGUGACCCGUCAGCUGCUCAUGGGUACAGGCUCGCCUCCUCCAGUAGGGUUGUGGUUCUGCCUCAUAGUCCAACAUCAAGGGGGGACGUGGCAGCCGUAUCAGUUCUAUGCUGACGACUGUCUGGAGGCCUUCGGCAUGUCUCCUAAACGGGUCUCGGACUUAGCGCCCAGUAACCUGACCCGGGUCAUCUGUACCGAGGAGUACUCCCGCUGGUUGGGAGCCAAGGAGGAGAAGGUGAUGGUGUUCGAGGUGCGCGCUCGCUUUGCGGUGUUUGCAGGUCCAAAGCUGAUCAACAUGGACGCCCUUUACACCCGGAUGGAGACCAUGACGGGCCUGAAGGACUUCUUCAGCUUCACCAACCUGCGCCUGAGACUGCUGUGCCCGGCGCUGGGGGGGACCUUCGUCCAGAGGAACCAACUGCUCAAGUACUUCUACGCCAUCUCCAAUAUCGACGUACCGGCCAGGUGUAAGUGUCACCUGCACGCGUCGCGCUGCGUGCUACGUGACGCCGCGCUGCAGUGUGAGUGUGAACACAACACCAGAGGACAGAACUGUGAGCUCUGCAGCCAACGGGUCACAACACGCAGCUGGAGACCAGGAUCAUACCUACCCCUACCCAGAGGGACCGCCAACACCUGUGAGGCAGCAGAAACAGCAGCCAUGACUCCGCCCUCUGACUCCACCUCCUCACCAGACAAUGAAGACUCCCCCUUCUCUGGAACUGGUACUACAAACUUGAUCACCAGUUCUACUGUACCUACUGAUGGGUCUGCAUCAUCAACUGGAACAACAACAACAACAACCCUCUCUGGAGACACUGUAUCCAUUGUGUCAGACCCAACCAAUCAGACUGGAGAUGCUCCACCCACAACAUGAGCUGACACAAGUUCUCCUGAUGUUCCUCCAGACACUCUGAUUAAUAUACGUCCUCCCGAUGUACCUCCCGAUGUACGACCUCUUGAUUUACCUCCAAUUGAUGUACCACUGGAGGUACCCCCUUCCAAUGUCCCUCCACCUGACGAAGCUCCAUCUAAUGUAUCUCCUCUAGAUGUACCUUUUCCAAAUAAACCUUUUCUAGAUCUGCCUCCUGCAGCUGUACCUUCUCGUAAUGUACCUCCUUCAAAUGUUCCUCUGGAUGUGCCCUCCUCUAGAACUCCAGAUAUUUGGAUAGAUGUAUCUUCUCCCGGUGUACCUUCCACCGGUGUACCUCCCUCAACUAUAGCUUCCCCUGAUGACCCUUCCCCGGAUGUACGUCCUCCAGAUGUACUUCCUUCUGAUGUACCUACCCCUGAGGAACGUCCUCCAGAUGUUCCUCCUCCUGAUGUAUCUCAGCCUGAUGAACGUCCUCCAGAUGUUCCUCCUCUGGAUGUACCUUCCCCUGAUGAAUGUCCUCCAGAUGUUCCUCCUCUGGAUGUACUGCCUCCUAAUGCUCUUGAAGAAUUCUUGUUGCAUGCUUCCGAGGGAGGAAGUGAUGCUGUACUAGACACAAGCACCACCACCUUAAAUCUGUCUGACCCUGCUGGUGAUUUAUUCCCUGUUGACUUCAACUUCCCUUUUCCGGAUGAUCCAAAUUCAGCUGACCCUGAACCAGAUUCUGGACCAGUGCCUGUUGGUGAUCCUGGGAAAAUUUCAGAUGAUUCCCGUCAAUCUGUUUUGGUUCCUGGAACAAAUUCCCUCGAUUCUGGACUAGAUUCUGUCUCAACAGGGCUAGAUACUGAGGAUGCAGGCAAUGGUGGAAUAGAAUCAACUGGACCAGAUUCCCCUGCACCAGAUACUACAGGUGCUGGUCUAGAUUCUAGACUGGAUUCUCUUACAGCGGUAGAUGAUCAAGAAGUAGAUUAUCCUGCAUCUCAGAUGAAAGGAAAGUCUUCUGGAGAGGAUUCAGCUGCCGGUGGACCAGCAGAAGGUUAAGAGUUGGAUGAAAAGAAAGACUCUGAACAAGAGAAGAUCGGAGAACGAAAGGCGGAGAAAGGUACGGAGCACUGACUCAGAAAAAAGUGUAUGAUACAUCUAAGAACACUGGCCGCUCAUUCAGAGAAUAUUUCUAAUUGAGAUAGAGCUUCAUCAAGAACAACAAGCAGGUAUCAAGUCAGCUAAUUAGUUUUCAUCACACGUCCUGAUUAAGCUGCUGGUGACGUGUUCUGGAGGUUGUUAACAUGUUACACAUUGUUAGUCCCAAUAGAAAAAGAGACGCUCAGGAAGAUGUGGAACUCAGUAAACUUGAGUUUCUAUCAGAGCAACUGCAUUGUGAAGGUUUAUAGGGCAGCAUCUUCAAACUUUCCUCAAAUAAACAUUAGAAAUGUUUCCUACUCUGUUGAACCAAACAGUCACUGAAGCCAAAGAGGAAACAAGAGAAGGAAACAAGGAGAAAGAUGGCAAAGGCUACGAGAAAAAAGAAGAUUCUGAUUCCAGGAGGACCCAAAUUUAGUCAGCUGUCCGAAAUUGCCUAUGUCACCUUCCAGGGUAAGACCACCUUUAAGCACUACAGGUACACUACAGGUAGAAUACAGAUACACUGCAGGUACACUAAAGGUAGAAUACAGGUAUACUACAGGUGCACUACAGGUACACUACAGGUACACAGACGUCUCCAUCUCCAUCAGUCUUCAUGAGUCUCCUGCCUGUCUGCCUGUCACUAUUUACAUCAACACAUUCCUCCAGUUGUGAUGCUGUAUCCAGGUGUGUUCCAGGUGUGUUCCAGGUGUACUGACAGGUGUCUGUUCCCCCGUCAGACUGUGAGUGUAACGGUCACUCCAACCGCUGCAGCUACAUUGACUUUAUCAACACGGUGACGUGUGUGAGCUGCAAGCACAAUACACGAGG